UACGUAGGGUGCGAGCGUUGUCCGGAUUUAUUGGGCGUAAAGAGCUCGUAGGCGGUUUGUCGCGUCGGCCGUGAAAUCUCCACGCUUAACGUGGAGCGUGCGGUCGAUACGGGCAGACUUGAGUUCGGUAGGGGAGACUGGAAUUCCUGGUGUAGCGGUGAAAUGCGCAGAUAUCAGGAGGAACACCGGUGGCGAAGGCGGGUCUCUGGGCCGAUACUGACGCUGAGGAGCGAAAGCAUGGGUAGCGAACAGG
rnacentral:rRNA from 1 species